CUUAACUCCCCCGCCUCAGAUUUCUGGGCCCCACAUCCCCAGAUUCUGUUUCAGUAAGUCUCUCAUGGGACUUGAGACUGCGUAGUAUUUUUUUUUUUUUUUUUUUGGCAGCAAGGAACUUCCAUAUGGGGUGUGUGUGUGUGUGUGUGUGUGUGUGUCUGGGGUGGGGAUGGCCAACAAAGAAAAAAGCCCAGAGGUUGGUAGCCCAGGGCUGCUGUGGCAGUGAAUUGUCAGGGACCCAGGGUCUUUCAAGCUUUUCAUUCCGGCUGCCUCGUGUGUCACUUGCCUCAUGGUCCAAUAUGGCUGCUUGAGCUCCAGCCAUUAGAUCUUCUGCCAGCAAACAGGAAGGUGGAAGAUGCAGGAAAAAACCCUCCAUACCAUUACAGGGCCUUAAAGUGCCUUUAAGGACACUUUCUGGAAAUUAUAAACAUCACUUUCAUUUUCAGUUGAUUAGCCAGAACUCGGUCACCAGUACAAAACUAAUUGCAAGGGAAACUGAGUCUGUGCUUUCUUAUUCUGAAUGGCCAGGUGCCAGCAAAAUCAGGAGUUCUCUGACUGAUGAAGAAGAGGGCAGCCAGGAAGAGCCAGAGAACACACCCUACCCCCUCUGCCCAGAGCCUGGGAAUCAAGCCUGUGCCGGGGGCCCAGGCCCAGCAGGUUAAGAUCAGGUGUGCAGGGUUCCAAGGAUGCCAAGUUCCCUGUGGGCGUCUCACCACUCCUGUCAUCUCUCUCUGUCCGCGACCAGCACGCCCUGUCUCCACCCCAGCUGGUGCUGCAGUGUGAGCAAUCAGCCUCACUAGGAGUUGCUGUUAUGGCUUAGUGGGUUAAGAACCAACAUAGCAACCAUGAAGAUGUGGGUUAAGAACCAACAUAGCAUCCAUGAAGAUGUGGGUUCAAUCCCUGGCCUCGCUCAGAGGGUGAAGGAUCCAUCACUGCUGUGAGAUGUGGCGUAGGUCACAGACACGGCUUGGAUCUGGCGUUGCUGUGGCUGUGGCUGGCAGCUGUAGCUGUGAUUGGACCCUUAGUCUGGGAACUCCCAUAUGCUGGUGCGGCCCUAAAGGAAAAAAAAAAUUUGGAGGAGUUCCUGUCGUGGCGCAGUGGU
rnacentral:lncRNA from 1 species